rnacentral:rRNA from 1 species
UACGUAGGCAGCGAGCGUUGUUCGGAGUUACUGGGCGUAAAGGGUGUGUAGGCGGUUCUUUAAGUUUGGGGUGAAAUCUCCCGGCUCAACCGGGAGGGUGCGCCGAAUACUGAGGGACUAGAGUACGGGAGAGGAAAGUGGAAUUCCUGGUGUAGCGGUGAAAUGCGUAGAUAUCGGGAGGAACACCUGAGGCGAAGGCGGGCUACUGGGCCGAUACUGACGCUGAGGCGCGAAAGCCAGGGGAGCAAACGGG